CAUUACAGAGGCUGAUACAGAGGGAAGGCUAUCUUAUAGUCAUGUGUUAAGGGGCAGCAGCAGCAGAUGACGGCGCGGGACGAAGAGGAUUUGUAUUUUCGAAACAGUUUCCAGUCUUCAGCAUUGCAGCGCCAAGAGCAAAAAGGACGGUGUUCAAGUAUGCUACUAGCAACGAUGACUGCUAAAGUUUGCACACAAGCUUGCUACUGCAGCUCCAUCCAUCGGUACGUGAAUCCCAUCAAAGUAAUCUGGAUGCUAUGUUGUGCAUCCCCGAAGUUAUGGACACCCUUAGGUUCCUUGGUUUGCUAGGCACUAGCCGGUCGUUGAGCUGGUGAGGGGCUGUGAUUUAACUUCGGAUGGCCCUCAUCACGGGUCCUUAUUUUACUGUAAUGCUUGCUUGACGUGGUAUGGCAGAUGAAUCAUCUUGUGGAUUUUUUUUAUUUGAGAGAAGAUCUAUGGAUGGCCGUAUUACUUGUUUUA